CAACAAGCUGGAAAGGAGUGCAAAGGAAGAGUGUGCCCCGGAUUGAGUCCAAGUGAUAUUAAUCAUGAAACACAAUUACCACACAGUACCCCUGUGUAACAAGCUGAAGGAAUGCACAAGCAUAAAGCUCAGAAUGUCCUGAAUUUUACCUGUGCCCUACCUGUGCCAUGAAGGUCAUCUAUAGGGAAGAACCCAGUCAGCAGAACAAAAAAGCAGCCUUAAACUGACAAUCUACGUUUCUGCAAAUAGUCCCUUUAGGGACCUUAUCUCCCAGCAUAAGCAGCCUAUCAGAGUGUACCUUCAAUAAAAACAAGGCCUAAUUUUGUUUUCUUAGAAGACUUUUCCUCAGUAAGUAUGUAUGCAAUUAUAUUUUUUCAAAGAAUUUUAUAGAAAAUAUAUAACUACGUACUGACUG
rnacentral:lncRNA from 1 species